UUUCGCACGUCUCACUAGGGCCAUACUGCGCUGAGGCGGCUUGAGCCGCCAUCUAAACCCACUCUGCGUACUCUACCUGUUGCCUCCGCGGGGAGCUGACUCCAAUCAGGCUCCGCGGUUGGGAACCACAACGAAUCCUUGAAUAAUCAAUGUUACCGGUCUGAGUGUUGUGUUUGUAACAAAAUUUAAAACUUUCAGCAACGGAUCUCUUGGUUCUCGCAUCGAUGAAGAACGCAGCGAAAUGCGAUAAGUAGUGUGAAUUGCAGAAACAGUGAAUCAUCGAAUCUUUGAACGCACAUUGCGCCUCCUGGCAUUCCGGGAGGCAUGCCUGUUCGAGCGUCAUCAAAACCGUUUCAAGCGACAUUGCUUGGUUGUGGUGGACGAGGUUGUGAAGAACGAACUCGCCUCCGAAAUUCAAUGGCGGGGCACUUCCCAUGGCGAGACGUAGUAGGGUUUACCAAUCGCCUCCGUCUGUGCAGUGCCUUGGCCCAAUCCAACUCCCCCAUCAAUCUCAUGUUGACCUCGGAUCAGGUAGGGAUACCCGCUGAACUUAAGCAUAUCAAUAAGCGGAGGAAAAGAAACCAACAGGGAUUGCCCCAGUACUGCGAGUGAAGCGGCAAGAGCUCAAAUUUGAAAUCUGGCGUCUCCGGCGUCCGAGUUGUACUUUGGAGAGGCAUCUUCGGAGGUAGGGCCCGUCCUAAGUUCCUUCGAACAGGACAUCACAGAGGGUGAGAAUCCCGUGCCUGGGCGGACGCCCUCCUCCAGUGAAGAGUCUUCGACGAGUCGAGUUGUUUGGGAAUGCAGCUCAAAAUGGGUGGUAAACGUCAUCUAAAGCUAAAUACUGGCGAGAGACCGAUAGCGCACAAGUAGAGUGAUCGAAAGAUGAAAAGCA
rnacentral:rRNA from 1 species